rnacentral:rRNA from 1 species
GCAGGGAAUCUUGCGCAAUGGGCGAAAGCCUGACGCAGCGACACCGCGUGGGGGAAGAAGGCUUUCGAGUUGUAAACCCCUUUUCUCGGGGAAGAGAAGGGACGGUACCCGAGGAAUAAGGUCCGGCUAACUACGUGCCAGCAGCCGCGGUAAUACGUAGGGACCGAGCGUUGUCCGAAUUUACUGGGCGUAAAGAGCGCGUAGGCGGCCUCCUAAGUCCUGUGUGAAAUCUCCCGGCUCAACUGGGAAAGGUCAUGGGAAACUGGAAGGCUUGAGGACAGUAGAGGAAAGUGGAAUUCCCGGAGUAGUGGUGAAAUGCGUAGAUACCGGGAGGAACACCAGUGGCGAAGGCGACUUUCUGGGCUGUGCCUGACGUUGAGGCGCGAAAGCGUGGGGAGCAAACCGG